rnacentral:rRNA from 1 species
CCACGCCAUGGAAGCUGUGAGCGCCCGAAGUCCGUGUCGCAACCUGGGCAACCAGGGGCGAAGCGGCCGAAGGCGAGCGCAGUGACUGGGGCG